AACUCAAUGUCUCCCAGUUGGUUGGAUGUUCUAAUUACUCCAAGUAUUUAAUAAUUGUUUACAUUUACUUCACAUUACAUUACACUUAUAUUAUAAUACUGUACUUUCUUCGGAAAAGCAAACAUAAAAAUUUUAUGUGACAACAUAGAAAAUAGUUUCAGUUCUGUUACAGGUGAAGAUUUAUGGACAAAUUAUAGGGACCAUGAAAUAGUUUCACAUAUUUUCACCUCUUAGAGAUCCAUCCUUAGGAUUUUAGCUAGGGGUUAACCAAAAUAAACAUGGCUUCACCUCUGUGAUAGUAGUAGGUCACUCCAUGUUCUAAAUAGUCCUUAUUUCUGACCCUUGGGGCCCACAGAAACUAAUUUUCUUCAAUGGUUUAUUAUAGAUGAGGGUCAGAUACCCCAGAAUCCUACAGGUUUUAUUUGUCCUCCUCCUGAACAUAUAAGGGUAUUUACUUCUACCUGUAAUCUAAAAAUAAGAGUGCUAUAUGUUGAAGGAACAUCCUGUGCAUUUAGAAUGGAGGCUUUUUGGUUUACCUUAUGGCAACUGGUAUUAUUUUUAUUUGUUACAAAAUGAUUUGCCAUUUCAUGAGCAUAUUUUGUAAAAAAGCUUCUUAGUUUGGCAAAGCAUAGAAUUUUAUGCUCCACCUGUAAUAGAAUUGAACUUGGUAUAUAUUGUAAUUGCAUUUUCAACAAUCCCAGAACGUAAUCUAAGAAAAUAUAGCUCACCCUCACUGCUAUUCCCUACUAGUUCCUGAUUGGCUCACUGGAGGGAACUCUACUUUACAGGAAACACUAAUGCCCCCUCUUCUUUACAUAUAAAUACUUCUUUUCUAUUUCACUUUCUUUACACAGUUACUGAUAUAUGAAUGACUAAAAGUAGUAUGUUUUCCUUGAUAGCUCUCUUAAAUAAUAUUUAGUUGGAUGAUCCUUCACAUUAUUAUAUCUUUUUUCUUGAACUGAAUUAUUAUUUGCAGGGGGAAAGGGGGAAGAAAGGCUCUAGGGGUCCUAAAGGGGAUAAGGGAGACCAAGGAGCGCCUGGAUUAGAUGCACCCUGCCCGUUGGGAGAAGACGGUUUACCAGUACAGGGCUGCUGGAACAAGUGAUCGUUUCUAACCUGGGAUUGUCCUGUGUGUUUGUACAUAGAAUAUUUAUUUUUAUACAGUGUCACAUAAAUGGAAAAAAAAUACCAAACUUUAUGCAUUUUUGUACAAAAACACCUAAAACUGUUUUUGUUUCAUUGGACCAAUUGUGUAUUUUUGUACUUGCUUUUAUAAUAUUUGUGAAAAAUAUGCUGCUGUAUUUGCAUGAUAUUUGUGCACAAUUAUUAAAUAACGCUUUUUAAGUUAUUGUACUUUGGUGCCAAACCUUCAUCAGAAAAAAUGACAGACAAAUUCCAGGGUAUAAUGUUAAAUAAAAUGAGUUCCCCAUCUCCACAGUUUAAUAAUUAUUAAAGGGACUUUUGUAACUAGUUCCUAGGUAAUCAAUAUAAUUAACAGUACUGCUCUGUAGCCAAAAAAAUGCUUUGCUACAGGUAUGGAAUCCAUUAUCAGGAAACCCAUUAUCCAGAAACCUCUGACAAAUUGAAGGACAAUCUCUUUCAUCUCCCUUUAGAGCCCAUAUCAAUUAAAUAAGUUUUUUUUAUGAUAUAGGAAACAGUAACAGUUGCACUGCCCACUCUUCCUCUCACCACUUAACAUAGUGGUGCUAACCAUAAACAUAGAAAUUUUAAGAAUGAUCCUGGGCUUCCUUCCCAGAAUCCUUUCUGCUUUGCAUAUGAAUGAGGACGUAUCUCCUAAACCAAAAUGCUUUUCUACAAUGGAACCAGACAGUCCUUAAUGCCAAAAUGAGCAUUUAAGUAUUUUGUCAACAAGGUCUGUCACUGUUUCAUGUGCAUUCAAGAUGGUGCUUGCCAUUCGACAGCAUAGGUCGCGGUGACAGACAGACAGAGAGGGGUUUUAUGUCUGCUGCUGUUCUCUACCUGAGGCAGUGACAGCCAAAAUGCCCUAGUUACAGUGUUCCAAACUACAGAAAACCUCUUAUCCGGAACUUUUUCAUCCCAAGAAUUCCUGAUAACAGAUCCCUUGCCUCAAGUAGUUGUGAAUGGCUCUUUAAGAUCUUGUUGAGAUAUAGGGCAGCAACUUAUCCUUUUCAGGUGGUCAGUAUAAAGUUCGUAAUGGCACCUUAAAGGGAUACUGUCAUCAUAAUUUUCAAAUAAAGAGUGUUUACUUAUA